AAUAGUUCUGACUUUUCCCCUUUGCCAAAGGGCUUGCUGCUCAAGAGAAGUUAAAUCUGGAUCUGUUUCCGGGAGUUAAGGGUCUUGAGCACUCGCGUGGCUUUGCUGCAACUGCACAGCAUCGGGGUCGAAGGUGGAAUCUAAGCCCACCUGGCUCCUUCCCUUCUCCCUGGAAUCUGCAGGCUCCCAGGCCAAACCCAGCGCACCCCUUCGGAAACAGGGUUCUGUCUUGACAAGCCGGAACACUGCUGGAGCUGGGAACGAGUAGAAGCUUCUCUGCCAGGUGCAUUUACAUCCGGGUUUCAUCUUCCUCUUAAGGCAGCUUCGCUGGCGCAGGUACCUGCGUGGGAAGGUGAAGACGCAAAGCGCUCAGCACCCGCCAUCCUUUCACAGAGGACAUGGGGCCGAGCUGUUCCUCGAGGGAGGCGGACCACCGCUGCCUGGGCAAGUGCGGUAUGGGGGCAGGAGAAUCGUCUAGAGCCUUGCUGCUCAAUGCGUGGUUCGGGAACUGAAGCGUAUCAACACCACUUGGUACGAAGAUCUCAGCUUCACCUCAGACAAGCUAACUCAGAACCUGCAUUUUAACAAGAGAUCCACCCACACAUGGUUUGACUGCACUUUAAAGGUUUUUACUUACAGUAUUUUAACUGCAAGGAUUUUUCUGCUACACGGACCAAGAGAAGAGGGCCUGGGACUGAAUCUGAGAAACCCAACAUGGAAGAAGGGGGUUGAUGAGGACGAGCUGCCCAGAAAGCUAGGAGAAAACCCGGUGGGCUUGACUCACGGAAGCCCAGAGCAAUGACCUUUUAAGGACAUAAUUUUUGUCAGUUUCUCUUAUCACGCUGACAAGCAUGUAAUGAAAGCCCUCCAUAAAUAUUAGCCAUUGUUCCUGCGGUGGGUAGUAGUUGUAAUUUAAGCGUUUGUUUUUUUCUUUAAAGGUUUUUUGUUUAUUUACUUGAGAGGG